CCUACGGGUGGCAGCAGUGGGGAAUAUUGCACAAUGGGGGAAACCCUGAUGCAGCGACGCCGCGUGAGCGAAGAAGUCUUUCUGUAUGUUAAGCUCUAUCAGCAGGGAAGAAAAUGACGGUACCUGAGUAAGAAUCUCCGGCUACCUCCGUGCCAGCCGCCGCGGUAAUCCGUAUGGAGCAGGCGUUAUCCGGAUUUACUGGGCGGAAAGGGAGCGUAGGCGGCCUGCCAAGUCGGAUGGGAAAUACCGGGGCUCAACCCCGGGGCUGCAUUGGAAACUGGCAGGCUGGAGUGCGGGAGAGGCAGGCGGAAUUCGUGGUGUAGCGGUGAAAUGCGGAGAUAUUAGGAGGAACACCAGUGGCGAAGGCGGCCUGCUGGAGGGUGACUGACGCUGAGGCUCGAAAGCGUGGGGAGCAAACAGGAUUAGAUACCCUAGUAGUC
rnacentral:rRNA from 1 species